ensembl:lncRNA
UAACGAAUUUGAAGAUGGAAAAAAGCAUUGGAACUGGAGUCAGAAUACCCUUUGUUCACAUCCAGAUCUGCUGAUUUCUUUCUGAAUGGACUUGGGAAGCCACUUCACCUCUCUAAGCCUCAGUGUCUUAAUGUAUGAAAAGGGAACAAGACUAUGGUUGUGAGCAUUUACAAUGCUUCACAUGUGUUCCACAAACACUGCAUAGUAAGAAGCUAUCAUGAGGCCUUUUUAUAAGCAAGGCAGAGAAGCAACUGCACGUGGUGUCUCUCUAUGAUGGACUUUACUGCCUCAUUAAAAAAAAAAUCAAUGAACAUGGCUCCUGAAGCUUUGCGCAGCUUUAUUUGAACACAGCUUUCUUUUCAAAUGAAUCCUGCAAGCUACCAAUCUGCCUAGCUCAUGAAAGUGAACUACAACUUCACAGCCAUCGACCCAGACCCUCUUGUUCACAGCAAUAGACUCAGGCCUUCUUCACUGAUCCCUUCCGGCUUCCAAUGGAUCUGGGUGUAAUCUGGCUCCUGACUCUCAGGACACAGAUCCUGCUUCCAGGAAGCUCAUGGUGUAAUGGAAUGGGCAACUGAGCUGAGGUGCCUGAGGGAGAGCAGGAACAGAGUACAAGCCUUGGAGGGACAUCCCUGGUCGUCCUGUGGUUAAGACUCCGAGCUUCCACUGCUGGGAGCACAAGUUGGAUUCCUGGUUGGGGAACUAAGAUCCCACAUGCCAU